UCCCAUGCCAGAGGGCUAGUGGGAUACUUAUUUAUACCGCUGCAGCAGUGCCGUACUUUAAGAUUGCCAAAGAACCAGGCAACGUGAGUAUCCAGGUGCACAGAAUCGUCAGGAAUUGUGGAUUCUAUCAGGAUGCAACACUGUAUUUAGUCAUCAUGACUCCUUCAUCACCUCCUGCUUUGACACUUUCAGAAUUUCUUCAUUUUAGAUGACCUUGGCAGUUUUUAGGAGUGCUGGUCAGGUAUUUUGUAAAAUGUUUCUCAUUUGGGAUUUGUCUGAUUUUUUCUCGUGAUUAGACUGAAGUUAAGAGUAAGAAGAAGACAACAGAGAUAAGGAGAUAGGAAGAAUUGAUUUGAGAUCGACUUGGAAAUCAGCUUCAUGGAAGUGAGAGUUGAUACUGUGAGAAACGAAAGUAUAAAGAGAGAUGAGAAGUACUUGGACUAAAGUUCAAAUAAUACCGACUUCUGGCAGAGAGCAAAAAGAAUGAACCAAGCAGAAGGGAACAGAAUCCGGAAUUGGCACUAUGUCAAACUGCACUGAUCCACCUCUCCAGGACUGGGAAAACUAGAAAUGAGCCGAUGAAAAUCAGGAGACUGAAGUAAAAUUAUGUCAUUUGCUUUUCUUAAAUGUCUAGUCAAUCGUUGUCUGUUUUUCUUGACCUGAUAUUUACAGAGUUGCUCAAUAAGUUCUAGUAGUUAAUACAAAGUCUUUUUGUUUGGUUUUUUUUUUUUUUUGGUCUAUGGACAUGAAAUAUGGAUAAAUGUAAGCCAAAGACUUUACAAGGAAAGGAGUUGUUUGUUCAUCCCAACUUACAAUAAAACUAAACAAAAAGUUAUUGACUGUCUUCCAUUAAUUAAAGCAGUUUCAUCUCCUAUGAGCACCCACUAAAUACCCUGAAUUUAUUCUAAAAACUUCAAACACUCAGCUCACCAGCUUUAGCCUGAUACUGUCCACCACCUGAACACAUUGAAUUUUUACCUAUUCCUGAAGGACACGUCCAACUCCCCUGGUUUUCCUGCUUACCUUUGUUUCUUUCUCCUUUCUCUUUCCUCAUCUCUUCCUCCUUCCAAUCCCUAGUAUCUUCUCUGAUAAAAUUAAUUGCUAGUAACAUUUACUGUCACUUUCAAACUGACCCUUUGGGCACCUUUAUCUGAGUAGAACCAGUUUAGUAAGUGUAAAUACAAUCAUUCAAUGAACAUAUAUUCCGAACCUACAUGUUACAGGGCACUGUACUAAGCUACAGAAAAACAAAGUUACAAUGAAGUGUUCGGUCUACUGCAGGAUAUCCCAUUUUUCCUGAAUUCAGUUUAAAUAUUCAGAUAACUAUGGCCAUACAAAAAGUAUUUCCCCCUGGUAGAGGCUGGGAGUGUAAGAACCAGCCUAUACUCUGUAGCUAAAAUUUGAAGAUAUAACUUCAAAUUUUAAGUUCAAGUUAUAGCUCCAAAUUUUAGCUACAGAGGAGCCAUUUGGAGUCAUCUGUCACACCUUAAAAACUCUAAACUCAAUAGCUUAUAAGAUCCUCAAGCGACUGAUAAAGAAGGCUGGACAAAUCAGGACCCCAC
rnacentral:lncRNA from 1 species